GUCCCUGUAGCGCAAUGGGUACCGCGUUGCACGCCUAAUUCAAAAGUUGUGGGUUCGAAUCCCUCCUGGGAUG